rnacentral:misc_RNA from 1 species
UCAAACUUGGUCAUUUAGAGGAAGUAAAAGUCGUAACAAGGUUUCCGUAGGUGAACCUGCGGAAGGAUCAUUAUCGAAAUCUCUAGAGGGGGUCGAGUGGAACGAGCGAAGUUUGAAAGUGUGAUAGCGUCCGAGAAACUGUAGCUGGUCCUUUCGAGGGCAUCGUGCACGUCUCGUGCUAUUCCUUUUCCUAGUCCUUGUUCUCUCUUCCCCUUCGUUUACACUUCACACCUGUGCACCUAUUGUAGGUUCCUCGCUCGAGGGACCUAUGUUUUUCAUCUACACCGAACGUAUGUCAUUAGAAUGUGUCUUGCAGUGUCGUUCGGCUUGUGCUUUCUUGCCUUGUCGUUUCGACCGCAAAUGGAAAUCAUAAUACAACUUUCAGCAACGGAUCUCUUGGCUCUCGCAUCGAUGAAGAACGCAGC